rnacentral:rRNA from 1 species
AGUGGCAGACGGGUGAGUAACAUGUGGGUAUCUACCCUUUGGCCUGGAAUAACACGAGGAAACUUGUGCUAAUACCGGAUAAGUCUUUACGGAGAAAGCUUUAUGCACCAUUGGAUGAGCCCGCACUUGAUUAGUUUGUUGGUAGGGUAAUGGCCUACCAAGACUAUGAUCAAUAGCUGAUUUGAGAGGAUGAUCAGCCACAUUGGGACUGAGACACGGCCCAAACUCCUACGGGAGGCAGCAGUGGGGAAUCUUGCACAAUGGAGGAAACUCUGAUGCAGCGAUGCCGCGUGAGUGAAGAAGGCCUUUGGGUUGUAAAGCUCUUUCGUCGGGGAAGAAAAUGACUGUACCCGAAUAAGAAGGUCCGGCUAACUUCGUGCCAGCAGCCGCGGUAAUACGAAGGGACCUAGCGUAGUUCGGAAUUACUGGGCUUAAAGAGUUCGUAGGUGGUUGAAAAAGUUGGUGGUGAAAUCCCAGAGCUUAACUCUGGAACUGCCAUCAAAACUUUUCAGCUAGAGUAUGAUAGAGGAAAGCAGAAUUUCUAGUGUAGAGGUGAAAUUCGUAGAUAUUAGAAAGAAUACCAACUGCGAAGGCAGCUUUCUGGAUCAUUACUGACACUGAGGAACGAAAGCAUGGGUAGCGAAGAGGAUUAGAUACCCUCGUAGUCCGUGCCGA